ACCGGCAGCUAGCUCUCUGCAACUUACACAUGGUCGCCCACUAAAGCUAAGCAGGGCUGCGCCCGGUCAGUACCUGGAUGGGAGACCACAUGGGAAAGCUAGGUUGCUGCCGGAA
rnacentral:rRNA from 1 species